rnacentral:piRNA from 1 species
UGGUUUUGAGUCCUGUCCCGUGUGA